CGUCGUUUCCUUCCAGCCGACCGACCUGUUGCAGCGGCGGGGGAAGAGAGAAGAGAAGAGAGGGAGUCCACGGGCUGGGGGAGCGGGAAGAGGAGAGGAGAGGAGAGGGACUCCACUGUCCAGGCCGCGGUGGGGAGCGGGGCCCACCGCGGUGUCUGAGCGGGCGGGGAGACUCAGGGCCGGGGAGCGAGGACAGCAGAUUGACAUCCAUCCAUCCAUCCAUCCAUCGAGCUACAGAGUUUGUGAACGCCUGUCGACAUCAUGGCUGAAGCUGGUGACUGUGGAGGUGAUUCAGUGGCCUCUACAGCAAAGGAACAAAAAGGUUAGUGAGCCUUCUGUGACAUAUAUAUGAU